rnacentral:rRNA from 1 species
UUCUGGCUCAGGACGAACGCUGGCGGCGUGCCUAACACAUGCAAGUCGAACGGGGAUUUGUUUCGGCAGAAUCCUAGUGGCGAACGGGUGAGUAACGCGUAGGCAACCUGCCCUCCGGCCGGGGGACAACACUCCGAAAGGGGUGCUAAUACCGGAUACGAAGUCUGUGCCGCAUGGUACGGAUUUGAAAGAUGGCCUCUAUUUAUAAGCUAUCGCCGGGGGAUGGGCCUGCGUCCGAUUAGCUGGUUGGUGGGGUAACGGCCUACCAAGGCGACGAUCGGUAGCCGGUCUGAGAGGAUGAACGGCCACAUUGGGACUGAGACACGGCCCAGACUCCUACGGGAGGCAGCAGUGGGGAAUCUUCCGCAAUGGGCGCAAGCCUGACGGAGCAACGCCGCCGUGAGUGAGGAAGUUCUUCGGAACGUAAAGCUCUGUUGCUCCUGACGAACCUCCCUUCUAUCAACAACGGAAGGGACUGACGGUAGGGAACGAGGAAGCCACGGCUAACUACGUGCCAGCCGCCGC